GAUAGAGGGUGCAAACGUUGUUCGGAAUUACUGGGCGUAAAGCGUGUGUAGGCUGCUCCGCAAGUCGGAUGUGAAAGCCCUGGGCUCAACCUAGGAAGUGCAUUCGAAACUGCGGAGCUCGAGUCCUGGAGAGGAAGGCGGAAUUCUCGGUGUAGAGGUGAAAUUCGUAGAUAUCGAGAGGAACACCGGUGGCGAAGGCGGCCUUCUGGACAGUGACUGACGCUGAGACACGAAAGCGUGGGGAGCGAACAGG
rnacentral:rRNA from 1 species